UGGAUGGAUCUUUGCAGGAGCCUGGCCUGC
rnacentral:piRNA from 1 species